rnacentral:rRNA from 1 species
GUUGUAUGGUUAAGUGACUAAGCGUACACGGUGGAUGCCUUGGCAGUCAGAGGCGAUGAAGGACGUAGUAACUUGCGAUAAGCGUAGAUGAGGCAGUAACAGCCACUUGAGUCUACGAUUUCCGAAUGGGGAAACCCACUGGCAUAAGCCAGUAUCAUUGAGUGAAUACAUAGCUCAAUGAAGCGAACCGGGAGAACUGAAACAUCUAAGUACCCCGAGGAAAAGAAAUCAACCGAGAUUCCGAAAGUAGCGGCGAGCGAAAUUGGAUUAGCCCUUAAGCUUUACAUGUGUUAGACGAACGGUCUGGAAAGUCCGACGAUACAGGGUGAUAGUCCCGUAGUUGACGAUGCAUGUUCAGUGAAAUCGAGUAGGGCGGGACACGUGUUAUCCUGUCUGAAUAUGGGGGGACCAUCCUCCAAGGCUAAAUACUCCUGACUGACCGAUAGUGAACCAGUACCGUGAGGGAAAGGCGAAAAGAACCCCUGUGAGGGGAGUGAAAUAGAACCUGAAACCGUGUACGUACAAGCAGUAGGAGCACCUUCGUGGUGUGACUGCGUACCUUUUGUAUAAUGGGUCAGCGACUUAUAUUCAGUGGCAAGGUUAACCAUCUAGGGGAGCCGUAGGGAAACCGAGUCUUAACUGGGCGUCAUAGUCUCUGGAUAUAGACCCGAAACCGAGUGAUCUAGCCAUGGGCAGGUUGAAGGUUGAGUAACAUCAACUGGAGGACCGAACCGACUAAUGUUGAAAAAUUAGCGGAUGACUUGUGGCUAGGGGUGAAAGGCCAAUCAAACUCGGAGAUAGCUGGUUCUCCCCGAAAGCUAUUUAGGUAGCGCCUCGGACGAAUACUACUGGGGGUAGAGCACUGUUAAGGCUAGGGGGUCAUCCCGACUUACCAACCCUUUGCAAACUCCGAAUACCAGUAAGUACUAUCCGGGAGACACACGGCGGGUGCUAACGUCCGUCGUGGAGAGGGAAACAACCCAGACCGCCAGCUAAGGUCCCAAAUUACAGCUAAGUGGGAAACGAUGUGGGAAGGCUUAGACAGCUAGGAUGUUGGCUUAGAAGCAGCCAUCAUUUAAAGAAAGCGUAAUAGCUCACUAGUCGAGUCGGCCUGCGCGGAAGAUGUAACGGGGCUAAGUUGUAAACCGAAGCUGCGGCAAUGUUCUAUGAACAUUGGGUAGGGGAGCGUUCUGUAAGCCGUUGAAGGUGUGUUGUAAAGCAUGCUGGAGGUAUCAGAAGUGCGAAUGCUGACAUGAGUAACGACAAGGGGGGUGAAAAACCUCCCCGCCGGAAGACCAAGGGUUCCUGUCCAACGUUAAUCGGGGCAGGGUAAGUCGACCCCUAAGGCGAGGCUGAAAAGCGUAGUCGAUGGGAAACGGGUUAAUAUUCCCGUACUUCUUACAAUUGCGAUGGGGGGACGGAGAAGGCUAGGUGGGCCUGGCGACGGUUGUCCAGGUUCAAGUGCGUAGGCUGAGUGUUUAGGUAAAUCCGGA